AUUGGUCAGUUGGCAAGAUGUCGGCAUAGCUAGAUAUUUAAAAAUUUUCCAAACCCGCUAUGCUGCAUCUAGUCAAUUAUUU
rnacentral:pre_miRNA from 2 species